rnacentral:lncRNA from 1 species
CUUUUUGUUCCACAUCAGGGAAUUCACAGGGUAUCCAUUAGAAACCAUAUCACAUUUACAAGGCUCCACGGACUUCCUUAAGCCUUGAUGCUCCAACGGGUUAUACAGGCUAAGAGGUGGGGAUGAGUGCAGAUCCGAAGUGGGUGGGUGAGGAUCUCCCAGCCUCUCAGCCCUGGCACGGGGACUUGCUUUUCUCCAGGCUAUCUGGUUCUCUCUGUUUAUUCUCUGCCUGCUUUCCUUGUGUCUCUCGUUGUUUCUCUCUAAAUCUCCAUCUUUCCCUCUCUGUCCCUCUCCCCCUCCCUCCUUUCCUCUCUGUCUUUGUAACUCUCCCUCAAUUUUACUCAUUUUAGUGGUUCACUCUUUGGAUCUAGGACCUUGGUCAGCAUGAGCAUUGCACUCACAGAGAGGGUGACACGUUUCCUGAUGCCUGAAAGAGAGAAAUAAGAUGGCCCAGGAGACUCCAGGGCACUCUGCCCACUAAGCAUCUUUUUGGUCCUCCCCCUGCCAGAUUGAAAGAUGACAGACUGAGGACAAGCCCUAAGGGGACAGAGAGUCUAAGGCUCCAUGUUCCAACUCUGCAAGCCCCACCUCAGCUCAACUCAACACCUUAGACCUUCAGCUCACAGUUCUCUACAGGACACUUGUGAAAACUUGGAAAAUAUUAAUUGCUUAACAGUCCGCUUGCAAGUUGAACAGGCAGAUAAGGAGGAAAAGCCUUUCUUCUUUGACAAGCUUUCCAUGAAACAUAACCCCAGAACACGAGUGCCCAGAUGUAUACAUUCCAGGCAUGAAAAUGAAGGAUAAUUCUCCAAAAAGACUGACUGGCCCUUGGGACAAGAUCCACAGAGACUUCAUCUGAAACGUUCUUCAUCAAUCAAGAUCAUUUUUACUCAACACAACUUGUCACUCAAGUUUAAUGACCUUCACUACCAGAAGCCCAGAGUUCUAGAGUUAACUGCAUCCUACUUGACCCUGGUGUGGUAUUGGCCAACAAAGAGGCAGCAGGACAAAGAACACACAAUGGAGCUUGGGGCUCAACAACCUGGGAUCUGGGGCCAGACUCCACUUUGAAACUUUGGGUUUGCUCAUUACACACAGUGUCGGCAGCUGGUGAGUGUCUUUUGCAAUUCAUCAGAGGCCUCCAAGACCACCUGCUCUCGGCAUCCUGCAAACAGCUGGCUCUGGGAAAAGCCACAGGGAGGCUUUGUGGAGCUUGAGCUAAGGCCACCAGAUGUCCCAGGAUUAAGAAGCCAAUCCCAGUUUCCAAGGUCGUCACCACUUUAAUUUUUUGUAACGUUUGCCUCAAUUUUUAACCCUGAAAUGACCCUCUAUGUGGCCAUGCCCUACUCCAGUCCCUGAAGAAAAGCUAGAGAUGGUGGGAGCAGGAGCCAAAAGCUGGGCACUGGCAAGAAGGAAGGACAAGUUUAGAGAGGAGACACGUUGCAGGUCAGCCACAAUGUGGCUGACCUUGACAAUACAGAAACCAAAAACCAGGUGAAGGUCUGGGAAUGGGUGUCAUUUUGAGAGGUUUCCAAAGUUUAUCACAGACAGCCAGAAACUUCUCUGAGGUCUACUGAGAAAAUUCUUAUAAUUUGAAGCUGGAUCCUGGAUAACCCAACACAACUACGAUCCCCGUGAAGGAAAAAGUUAUUCAUGAUACUUGUUAAAGAAUGGCAAGGCAAACUCUAUUCAAAGGGGCUACUCCAGUGGGUUUUUUUAGUAGGGAAGAGAAAUUGGGCUCAACUCAGAAUACAAGGAAAAGUGGGAAUUUACAGGCAAGGAGGUCAAGGGGCAGGCUGGGGAGCAGUCCAUGGGAAAUUACUAAGAGGAAACCUCAGGGUUGGAUGUGGUGGCUCACACUUGUAAUCCCAGCACUUUGGGAGGCCAGGGCAGGCGGAUCACUUGAGGUCAGGAGUUCGAGACAAGCCUGGCCAGCAUGGCAAAACCUCGUCUCUACUAAAAAUACAAAAAUUAGCCAGGCAUGGCUACAUGGCAGUGCCACUACAAGCACGUGCCUCCAGACCUCCAAAGAGGAGUCAGGAGGCUGAGGCAGGACAAUUGCUUAAACCCGGGAGGUGGAGGUUGCAGUGGCAGAGGUCACAUCGCCACUGCACUCCAGCUGGGGCAACAGAGUGAGACCCUGUCUCAAAAAAAAAAAUAAUAAAAGGGGGAAACCUCAGGGGUAAGGGGGAUUCUGCCUAAACUGACCUAAUAGGAUUCUUGCUGACAGCAGGCCAGGGUGGCCAGACAUCACCUGAGGAGCUGGUGGGUGGAGGAUGAAGAACCCCAUCAGAUAUCAAGGGUGAUCAGAUAUCAUAGGUAGGACAGUCUGUCUAAACUGACUUAACAGGGUUCCUGCUAAAACUGGACAAUGCAUGGAAUUCAGUGAAUACGAAAGUCCAAAGGUCAGGGCCUAGUUGGAUUCAGGGCCUAGUUGAUUAGAGUUUAGUCCACAAGAGAAUCUUUGUCAUCCCCAGAAUGAUUUAGUGUGGUCUCCACGAAUUGAUCAAAAUUUGGCUGUGUCUUUUUACCUUGUCCUUAUAAAACUGGAAGGGAAUUCUGGCAUAGGAUGGGUACCUAACUGACUCACUGUUUAUGAGCUUCGUCAAUCAAAUGCCUGAAUGAAGCUCUUAGAAAUUGCUAUUUUUAUCUUAUGGCUGGUUAAAAUCUGAAAAAUCCUGCAGCUUCAUUUUUGCCCCCUUUUUUAGUGUGUUUUUAAGGAGUGUUUAUGGAUUGAAUUAAUGCAGAAAAAUGUUUUGCGUUUUAACACAUUGAAAAGUUGGAAAAUAAAAAAUCAAUAUUCCUAAAUUUUUCUUACUUUGAUUCUUCAAGAACCUUGCUAUUAAGAACCCAGCUCUUCUGUGAGGCUGAGGAGCAGUAGCAUCAGCAUCGACUGAGGGACUUGUCAGAAAUACAGACUCCCAGAAUCAGAAUCUACAUUUUAACAUUUCCGAUCCCCAGGUGACUUGUUUGCACAUUAAAGGUUGACAAGCUUCUUACCCUCUUCUGUGCCCUUGAUUCUUUUAGGUCAAAUAUAUCUGGUGUAGAUUGCUACCACC